rnacentral:rRNA from 1 species
UACGAAGGGGGCUAGCGUUGCUCGGAAUCACUGGGCGUAAAGGGUGCGUAGGCGGGUUUUAAGUCAGGGGUGAAAUCCUGGAGCUCAACUCCAGAACUGCCUUUGAUACUGAAGAUCUUGAGUCCGGGAGAGGUGAGUGGAACUGCGAGUGUAGAGGUGAAAUUCGUAGAUAUUCGCAAGAACACCAGUGGCGAAGGCGGCUCACUGGCCCGGUACUGACGCUGAGGUGCGAAAGCGUGGGGAGCAACAGGAUU